GGUAAAAAUAUUCAGACAACCUCUUGUUCUUAGCACUUUGGCUACUUAUAUGUUUGUCUAUUCAUGGCUAUCCACUGCCAAAAGCAGCUUCUAUGAGCAAAGUUGAGAUCAAUUAACAAUAUAUAUGCAUACAAAUUAUAUACACAUGAAUAUAAUAUAUGUAUAAUAAAUAUAUUCAUAAAUAUUUAGGAGGCAAUUUGACACCUAUUAGCAAACUAACAAUAGUGGGUUCUACCUUUGGGCCCAUGACUUCUACGGCCUGAAACCUUUGAUUUAUGCCAGAGAACUGGGCAUAAAGUUCUGUCUUGAGAAGAGUCAUCAGUUCAAUCAGAAAGUAGUUAUCUACCCUAUAACAGAAUACACAAUUGCACAUCUUGUCUGGGAGAAUGGUAUUGUAGCAAUCAGGGUCCAACACUGAGGAUGACCACUGAUGUCUUUCCUAUCGUAACUGCCUACAUGGUACUUUUUAUCACUCUAAAAUCUAGACAGCAGGCAGAAAGAUUUUCAGUUAGUUGAGAUUGAUUUCUGUUGUUCCUGCAGCCAAAGUGUUUGGUGUCUUCAGCAAUGGGGUCUUACCAUGUAUUAUGGUGGAUAACCAAGGGACAUGGCAAUAUCCCUUUCUGUUUUCAAGUCCUCUGAAGAUUCCUUAACCAGGACUUUAUAGAGAGCUAUCUCUUGUCUUAAACUACAAUUUUCAUUUAACAACCUAUAUUUUUGAGUGCAUGGAUACAGUAUAAUUUUUCAUUUUGAAGUUUAAAACAAAAGUUGUAUUUUGAAAUUUACUGAUCAAAGACUGAUAUUUCCCAUAUGUCCUUAGUUUUGAUAAUUUACCCACAGUCUCUUCCUGUCCUUUAUUAUCUUAUCUCUGUCCUCACUUAACCUUUUAUCACUCAUUAUUUUCCUCUUCUUACAUUUCACAUGUUUAUUAGAAACUUUUCUGUUGCUGAUGAUAAAAUGUCACUAUCAAAACAACCUAUAGAAAGAAGAGUUUCUUUGGAUCUAUCAUUGUUGAAGUCUAUACUCUUUUGCACAGUUGUAGAAGAGUCUGUUGUGGUAGGAGCUUGAUAGCAGAUAAAUAUGAUGGCUAGAGUAGCUGAAAAAUCACAUUUCCUAAAGCAAAAUGAGCUUGUGGGACUUCCCAAAGGAUGCUUCAUCCUACCACAGAGGCACUUGCUUAAAUAUCUUCAUUGAUGCUCUAUUUAUAAUAGCCAGAAACUAAAUAAAGACAUAGAUAUCCCCAACAUAUUAAUAGAUAAAGAAAUUUUGGCAAAUUUAUACAGUAGAAUAUCACUAGAUCAUUAAAAAAUGGAAUUAUGAAAUAUGUAGGUAAAUGGAUGGAAGUAGAAAAAAAAUCAUUCGGAAUGAGGUAACAAAGACCCAGAAAGACAAAUAUGGUAUACAUUUGCUUAUAUGUGGAUAUUAGCUUUCAAUUCAAUGAUAAAUCUGUAGAAAUACAAACUCUUGGUAUAAGAUAAGGACAGGGAUGGAUGUGGGUGCAUGUGGCCUGCCCCAGCCUUGAAGCAGGCUGAUUCAGACUUUGCAGCCACUGAAUAUGAGAUCACCUGGGGUGUAGCCUUCCUACUUAGAUGGUUAUAUUGUUAUGACAACUACUGCUGCUCUUCUCUGAGACUCUGCUACCUGCUGAGAGACCUUUGAGACAUUCAGGAGACACAUCUGGCUCAAAACACCAAGGAUGGACCGGGGGUGGGGUGGGGUGGGCCUUCCCCCUUAUAAGCACAGUCUCUUAGUAAACUCAUGGGCCUUGAUCAGAGAAAAAUUGUCUUUUACAUUAUUCUUUUCUCGAAGUCUAAUUCUUUUUCAGAACUCCCUGGGGAAGGGAAAUAGAAUAGACAUUUAUAAUUUGACCAGGGAGGCAGGGGAUUAGAACUAGAGGAUCAAGCAGUUUGCGAGAGAGAAAAAGGGGAUGAGGGAAGGAAUUUAGAGAAAUUAAGCUGAAGUUAAGAGCCAUUUGAAGCCUAAUUCAGUAUGAAAACCUAAUACGGUAGAAGCUACCACCACAUUGAUGUCCAAAGUAGCUGUACAGAUUUCAAGUCCCAACAAUCUUAUUUUACAUCUAAAAAUGUGAUUGCACAGUUUCCUCUUAUGGCCACCAUGCUUGUCUGUUGUCAUGUCUCCCUACCAUGAUGGACUUCUAGUCUUUUGUAAUUCAAG
rnacentral:lncRNA from 1 species